GUAAGUGGACACUCAAAGUCAACUGUGGGCACCAUACAGCCACUUGAUUGUACCAUCUGUCAUUUUGUCAUUUAUUUCUUGGUAUGAAAUGACUUAGCUUCUAAACCAGGUCUGUGUUUCAGGCCUCUUGAUUUUUAAUGCAGGAUCCUCCUGAUGUUUAUUAUUGCUCUCUCCUUUCCCGCACGUUUAACUGCAGACAACAUUUUAAAAUCUCCCACCAUUUGUACCGGUUUGCAUCCAGGAAUCUUUCUAAGCUCUGCUUCCCAAACCUGAACUCUCUGUUGCCAUCCCAUUGUGAUUGGUUGCAUUCUUGCUCUCUGCCUGCUUCCAUGGGCUUGCUGCUCCACACCUCCCUUUAUUACCUGUCCUUCAGUCACCUAGUACUUUAGCGGCAGUACCUUUGGCUCAGUGCCCUCCACCAAAGACCAGCCCCCAUGGCUGAGAUCUGGCCUUUCACUCUUACUCCUAAGUGGGCACAGAAAUAACCACUUUCUAGAAGAAAGCCAGUUCCUUCUCCAAGAAUCUAGCUGCUCUGCCAUGGGAUAAGUAGAGAACUGACAGCCCUAAAAUUCAACACCAGCCUGAAUGGUUCUGGUCAAAUUCUUGGAUUUGUCCCUAAUUCCUGCAUCCUACAGUGAACUCUGCUAAUUUCCACAAGGGUUUAUGCCAUGGCUAUUGUCUCCUGACCUUGACUCAUUUCUGACUCCUGCUACUUCCUUGGCAACUUGUUCUCUCCAGAAGGGACAUGGCAAUCAAAGGAGCCCAAAAGCAGCUGGCACCUGACCCAGGCUAUUGGCAAAUGCAUUUUCUACUGGCCCAUCAAACUGGUGAGAAACAGAAUCAUCUCAGGAGGAGAGUGAGGUGGCAAUCACAAAUGUGAAUGAGUGGCAAGUCAAAAUCCAGCUAUUAACACAGGAGGUUCACUGGGGAAGUCGGAAAGAAAAGCACAUUGGCAUUCACAUUAGGCAGAAAAGGACCCACGGAGCUGUUAGAAAACCCAGAGGGAAAUAGAAGCUAAAGAACUUUUCCUACUAACACACUAAUGAUGUUUAUCUGCACACAGCCUGCUUUUGUGCUAGUACUUUAUAUACAAUUUAGGGGCCAUUAAACUUUAAUUUAAGAUAAUUCAUUAGAAA